CCUACGGGAGGCUGCAGUGGGGAAUAUUGCGCAAUGGGCGAAAGCCUGACGCAGCGACGCCGCGUGAGGGAUGAAGGUCUUCGGAUCGUAAACCUCUGUCAGCAGGGAAGAACGGUCACUGUGCUAAUCAGCAGUGAAUUGACGGUACCUGCAAAGGAAGCACCGGCUAACUCCGUGCCAGCAGCCGCGGUAAUACGGAGGGUGCGAGCGUGAAUCGGAAUUACUGGGCGGAAAGCGAUCGUAGGCGGUAUGUCAAGUCAAGUGUGAAAUCCCCGCGCUCAACGUGGGAACUGCCUUUGAAACUGGCAGACUGGAGUGUGUGAGAGGCUAGUGGAAUUCCUGGUGUAGGGGUGAAAUCCGUAGAUAUCUGGAGGAACAUCAGUGGCGAAGGCGACUAUCUGGCACAUAACUGACGCUGAGGAGCGAAAGCGUGGGUAGCAAACAGGAUUAGAUACCCUUGUAGUC
rnacentral:rRNA from 1 species